GAAAAGUGUCUAUUUAGAUAUUUAUCCAUUUUAAAUUUGUAUUACCUGUGUGUUACCAAGUGGUAAAAAUUUCUCUAAAUAUAUUUAUGUACUCAUGAGACAUUUGCAAAUGUUUUAUACCAUCUGGGGGCUGCCACCUCACUUUCUUGAUGGCAAAGAAACUGAAUUUUUUAGUUUUAUUCAAGCACACAUUUAGAAACCAGGACCAAUCCCCUCCAGAAAAGUCUCCAUUUUUCCAGUUAGGUGGGAAUGGUGAGUGCUGUAAGACAUCGGUCAUAAGCCAGAACAACAAGAGGCAAAUGGCUGAGAAAAAAAGGAUGAUUUCUGCUUUGUUCUAAUCAUAAUGCCACUUCUCUUCUGACCCUUUUGGAUUGUACUUCAUUAAUGAGUGGUAAUGGGCAUUUUUCUAAAAUGAGAAAAUAAAACUUUCCAUU
rnacentral:lncRNA from 1 species